GCGGCCGCCCAGCGCCCGUCCCCGCGCCGCACUCCCCGGCACUCCCCGGCGCUCCCCGCGCCGCGCGCCCCGCACCGGCUGGAGGCCCCGGCCCCCCGGCGUUCCCUCUCCGCGCACCUCCCGGCCCGCGCUAGCAGGUAGCAGGCAAGAGUGUGGUUAUCGUUGGACCAGGAUUCAGGAUCUGACUGAGUAGCUGACUCUUAAUCCAGUUUGUGUUGAUCACCAGGAGGAUCUGGACCUCAGUAUUACCACAUCUAGAGCUAUAAUCACAUCCCUGUUAAGCCUUCCUGAGAUCACACCAAAUGUCCUUGAUGGGAAUUGUAAACAACCCUUACUUCUGGUUUCUAAUGAUAUUCCAGGAAAGGAGCCUAACUAGAGUCAGUGAUAUGCCAACUCCACCUUUGCCUUCCACCAUGUUUGGAAGCUCCCUGAGGCCUCACCAGGAGCAGAUGCUCGUCCCAUGCUUCCUAUAAGCCUGCAGAACUGUGAGCCAUAAUAAACUGUGAAUUAUAAAUUGCCUUUAUAGCAAUGCAAAUGGACCAGUACAGAUGGGAUGCUGGGAAGACAGUUGUUUCCACCUUCAGUAAA
rnacentral:lncRNA from 1 species